UACGGAGGGUGCAAGCGUUGUUCGGAUUUACUGGGCGUAAAGCGCGCGCAGGUGGGGUGACCAAGUCGGAAGUGAAAUCUCGAGGCUCAACCUCGAGGCUGCUCCCGAAACUGGUCGCCUAGGGACUGGUAGAGGCUGGUAGAAUUCCCGAUGUAGCGGUGGAAUGCGUAGAGAUCGGGAAGAACAUCGGUGGCGAAGGCGGCCAGCUGGGCCAUUGCUGACGCUGAUGCGCGACAGCGUGGGGAGCAAACAGGAGUUAG
rnacentral:rRNA from 1 species